CAUUUUUUCGUCAGUAUUGUGAGAGUAAUCUAACAAGAUGAAAGGUUUUUUGGUAUUCUUGGCCAUUGUGCUUCUUACGUUUACGUGCCCAGCCAAUGCAGCCCCGGGUACAAACUAUGGCAAUGUGGUUGCUUCUGAAGGUAGUGCCAGUUCAGGAGUCGUAGAGAAUUCGAAUUUCGGAGAUAGCGCAUUCAGUGCUGGUGGAUCUGGAUCCGCUUCAUGCGGCAUUCUACAUGACGUGAUUUCAUCUCUUGUGUGGAACAUUCCUUGCAAUCAUUAACAAUUGAGGAUUAAAUGGUAUAAUUAGACAA